rnacentral:snRNA from 1 species
GUGCUUACUUCAGCAGCACAUAGACUAAAACUGGAAUGAUACAGAGAAGACUAGUGUUGGCCCUGCAUAAGGAUGAUGUGCAAAUUCUUGAAGUGUUUCAUAUUUUU